CUGGGGCUGCCGCCGCGGGCAGGCUGAGGAGCUGGAGCCGAGCGGGGAGGCUGCGUUUCAAGCCAGGGGCGAGCGCCAGAGCCAGCCCCUCCCUGUGGCCCCGCUUGCCCGUUCAACAGUGCAGCGCUGUGAGAGAUGCUAGCUGAGCCUGUGCAAAGAGGAAAUUUUACCAGAAUUGCUGAAAUCAUCCCAGAAAGACACUUUGCAGAUUGAUUCAGCAUCACAAGCUGAUCCAAUCAGGGUAUUGACAAAUACGCUAACGACGUCGAAAGUAGCCUACUUUAAGAGAAAAUAUGCAGAAGAAGAAGAUUUACAUCAAGAUUACCAGGGGUAUUUUCCAAAACACCUGAUAUUACCUGAGGACCGGACUUGUAUUCUAAAACUGUCUCUGCAGAAACUUCGAUUCCUUGAAGACCCUGAAACCUAUCUCCGUAGGUCUGUGCUUAUUAACAAUUUGCUGAGGAAGAUCCACCUAGAGACAGACAGAGAGAGCUAUGAAUACUUUAAAGAGACACCCUGUUAUAGGACCGCUUACUCGGAUACAAGAAAACGGCUGAAGUUUAUGGUACAAGAAUGCUGUUCUGAGUCACUCUAUUAUGAAGAGCUGCAUUCGUAUCAUAUUGUGCCUUAUUCUACAGAGAAUUCCAUUUAUGGAAUGGGCUAUACAAGCGGCCACUUGGAGAAAAAUUCUCAGUUGCUUAUUUAUAAAAUGAAUUGAAGUAGCUGUUAGAUCCACUGAUGUUUUGUUUCUGAAUGCUUGAACUGCUUAUUAACAUGCGAAGAUGAGGCACUCAUUGUAAACACACUUGUGAUGAAAGACGGGAUACAUACAGAGAUGAAUGGAGGGUACUUUGAAUAAUACUCUGCAGUCAUUGGUAUGCGAAGGGUUUUAUAAGCAGAGAUCUUGUGUGCAAUGUAUUUUGUAGAAACUAAGUGACAUUAAGUUGCCAAUGUAGAUAUAAACAUUUUAUCUACUUUGUAUUUAAAUUAUGCCAUCCAAGGCGAGAGGUAAAACCAAAAGUGACAGAUUAUUCUGACAAUGAAGAUUCAGGGGUGGGAGUUAUUUUUUGUAAGGUUUAGAAAGCAAGUUUUCUUUGAGAAAUGCUUUGAAUCUGAAGGAAUCAGUGCCAAAAGAAAUGCCUCUUUGGUUAGGAUUUUCAAAAAGGCAAAAUAACUGAUCUACUUACAAGAAGUUCUAUGCUGAGAUCACUCAGCAUUCUAGUGAGGUGUUUUUAAUUGAUCCACUCAAUUGCUCUCACUUCGUACUUAUCUUUCUGUUGACACACAUUUUGCGACAAAACGGAAUGACUCAGAUGAAAAUCUAUUUUCUCAGCCAGUUGUCAGUGUUUUCUAAACAUGAUUUGAAUCCCCUCCAGGUUGCCUGGCUGGAACUCUGAGGUUUUUGUGUGUGUGCUAUUUACUAGUCGACCAUGUGGUACAACGUCUGAUCAGUGUUAGAGCUUAGGUGGGCACUUUUUGUGAUUUGAAAACAACAAAACAAAAACCCACGUUCCAGAAAAGGAAUAUAUUUGACACACUGUAGUAAAACCUGAGAGGACUUUCUUUUGAGAUGAGUUUAAUCUGCAUUAGUAACAAUGUUUGAGGUGGAGUUAGAUGUGUAAUGUCAAGUUCUGGAAUUUCCUUUACAAUAUAUAUCAAGCAUGUCCUAUGAGACACAUUGCGCAAUCUGAUGACUAGAAUGGGAAAGUCAAAACUGCCAGAGCUGUGUUCUGAAAAUACCAAAGAGUAGCAUUAGGGAGAGGAUGACAUUAAAAUAAAUGGGGUCAAAAGCAGAGAUUGCACUAUAACUUGGGAGAACAUUAUUAACAAGCCAGUAAACUACACAGUUACCAAUAUAUUUGUUCACUUAAGGAUGACUUGAAACACAGAAUUGCUGAACAAAUAUUCCUGAUCCAAAGCUUAUGGAAGUCAACGGGAGUCCUAUAGAGUCCAGUGGUUCUCACACGUUUGUACUGGUGACCCCUUUCACAUAGCAAACCUCUGAGUGCGACUCUCCCCCCCCCUUAUAAAUUAAAAACACUUUUUAUAUAUUUAACCCCAUUAUAAAUGCUGGAGGCAAAGCAGGGUUUUGGGUGGAGGCUGACAGCUCGUGACCUCCCCCUGGAAUAACCUCACGACCCCCAGUUUGAGAACCUCUGCUAUAGACUAUAAGUUUGUAGUGAAGGAUCAGCUUUGCAUUACAGGUUAUGGCCACUGGAGCUUUACAGGUAAUGCUAGGUGAAAUAAUAGUAUGUUGUAACAAUGGAGGCAGACGUAUUCAAGUAACCAAUUUUCUCAUGUAGAUUUGACUGAUGCUAUUUCUGAAGCGUUAUACAGUAUGAACAAAUAAAAAUGGCUUUAUAUGGAUGUGCUUAGUAUAGAACUAAGAUUCCACCUGUAACCCUACUUCAAAUGUCUAGCUCUUGUAUAUUGCACACACAAUUGCUGCUGUCAGACAUGUAUUAACUGUACAAUAAAUAAAAGGCAAGGGCAGGCAGUCAGAGGCGCAAAGUCAAGUGAGUCAAGGAUGAUAUUCAUAGUUAGAAGCCAAUGCAGGUUUCAGAGACAGGGAGAGAGAGAACUAAAAUCCAGGAAAGCUGAACAUUUGUAUUAAAAAUUCUCUUACCUAAAUUCAACACAAUUAGUACUCCCAAAUUUCAGAAUCUACAGCUGUGUGAAAUGCCAUUAAUAUUAAAUAGCCUACAGAGAGCACAGAAACGGGAAAGCUGGAAAAUGGGGCAAUGCUGUUUCUUAAGUGAAAUUAGUAAUUGUGAAUGUUUAGGCUCUGAGAAGCCACUUUCAUUUUUCUUAGAGGCAAAAUGGUCCAUACUUAUCUUGGAAGUAAAGGGGUCAAAUCAUCUGAAGACCAGAUCCUCAGCUGGUGUAAAUCAACAUAGUGCCUUUGAAAUCAAUGGCCUUUUGUUGAGCCACUGGAGUAACGCAGCGGAAAAACUGGCCCAAACUUUCAAACGUUAGCUCGCAUUUUGCAAACUGAAGUAUUUUGAAAAGACAUCAGUUAAAAGCUACUAAUAUACGCUACGUAUCGCAAGAAGGAAAACUGAAAGAAGGCCAGGCUAGUCUGGAGAAAGGCUUUAAUUAUCUAACGUGCAUAAUAAGUGUACUACUAGAAAUUGGUAGUGAAAUGAGUUUACUGUACGAUAGGUGAGAGAAUUAUACGAUUAGUGUUGUUAGAGGAGCCAUCGUCGCUCAAAGAGCUCUCUUAUCUCUGAUGGUCCAUUGCCUACUAUGUGUGCAGGGAGAGGUGGGGAAAGGCAUAUUAGAGGACUAAUAGGUGUCUAUGGGAAAUUAUUUCUGCCUUCUGGUUUUAAAAAUUAUGUAAUUUUCUGCUCUAAAAUGAACAGAUUCAUGCACUUUUUUCUUUGUGUUAGUUUUCUGCAGCAUUCGUAAUGAUCAGAUUAUUGUAUGAAAUGCUAAAUAACCCUUUCUCACUGACUGACAAUGGUACCUACUAUAUUGUAUGUACACUAUAAUUCUGGGCUAAAAGGCAAGGCUCAUUACAUUAAAUUAUACUUCACAAAUGAUUCAUAAUGUUACUUCUACUAAUAUUUUGCAAGAAAGGGAGGGGGGAAAAUGGAGCAGGAGUUAGCCUUUAACCUUUACCAGAACUACAAUACUCGUUGAAGUCAUCUUUGAAAAAUAGUUCCCUUGUCUGGGAAAAAAGUAACUGCUUUCUGGCCUGUUAAAAGCUUAUUUUAUCUGAUGCUGCAUGAUGGGUUGCAGCUUAAUGCACCUUUAAAAGAUAUCAAGACAAAAACACUCUGAACGGGUCUCAGGUAACUAACUGCUUGGUGUUUUAGAAGAUCAAGGGUUUGGUUCUCCCAGAGACAGCUGAAAAAUGGGAUAACUUUGGUGAAAAUGUUUUGUUCCUCUUUUUUUGGCCAAAAAGUUUAUGCAAAAUGUAAUUAAAAUAUUUCAGUGAAAAUUUCCCACUUUUUCGUGGUUAAAUUCUUGAGGGGAAAUAUCAAUCAAAAACUUCAGAAUUUUGAACAUUCUCAACUACCCCCACCUUGCACUUCAUGUAGUUUAGUUGUGCUGUUGCAGAGUUUUGCUCACACUAUCCACAGCUGCAAAUGACUGCACCGGCACACCGAAGAGGAGAAUCAGACCCUACAACUUGACUGUGAAAGUUAUUAAAUUAUCGAAUGAUAUUUUAAUACUCCGUUACCAAGCCACCAUUUAGUACUGUAAUACAGAUACAUAAAGAGAUGUUUUAUUGAUAAAGCCAUUCAGGGUUUAGUUUGACUUCUGCAGCACCUUUUUCCGAACUUUCCUAAGUGAUCCUAUCUAUCGGUAGCCCACAGUCAGACUUCAGUGUAAAGAAAUUUAUGUGAUUUUACAACUGUUCUAUGCACACACACAGGUUAAAUUUGUACUGUGUGUAAAGAAAGUCCUUCCUCUCAAAACCAGUUGUCUUGGAAAAUAUUCUACAAAUAAUGUAUGACACCUUGGAGACAAUAUAAAGGAUAUGUCUGACAGGAAAAGAUUUGGUAACAACAUUUGGUAAUUUUGCAAAUGACUGUCUUAAGAAAAAUUCAUGUUCAGUGCAGUGUUGCAUGUAUUUAUACAGAAAUUUACGUGACUGUUUAUUAUAAACAUGUAAAUUAUUACGUUUUCUUCGUAGCGCUUUUCCUGGUUGGCUUCAAGUGUCAGGCCUGAUCUUGAAAACAUUUACUAGCAGGCAUUGUGCUUAUUGCACCAAGUCGGCUCAUUGCCUGCAGUGGAACUACUUGUGGCCAUAAGUGUUUGCAGGAUCAAGCUCAUAAUUAUCACUCGCCAAAGGCAGAGUGUCUUGCAGUUACAUGAUAGAGGACUUACAUACUCCUGUAAGUCACAUGCAUUUGGAAAUACAAUGGCCUGGAUUCUGUAAGCUCUUACAAUGUGCUUAAUUUACCAACAUGCGUAGUCUCAUUGAUGUCAAUGGGAUACUCAUGUGCUUAAAGUUAAGCAUGUGCGUAAGUACUUGCAGGGUCCAGGCUGAUGUAUACAGUGGAGCCACUCCCGAAUUGCCUAAUUUUCAAUGGAUGUGAUUACUGAGCUACCGCUUGAGUUCUUGAAUGUGUAUAUCAGGCAUCGUCAGUAGAACUUUUGUUUUUAGUGAAUGCAUUCAGUUGAGUAUAUCGAAUACUGUGCCUUAAAGUCCCCUCAUCAUAGGAGCCUUCUGUGAAAACUAAACCACAAUAUAGCUGAUGAUAAUUUUGUGUAUUCUCCAAAGAUCCAGGUUGAUAUUUGGGAGUACAUUAAAAAGCCAUCACUCUAAAAAGAAACCUAAUAGCAGGAUUUCAGACUCUAACCAAUAUAAACCAAGGCUUUACUUUUUAUUCAAUGAUUUCUCUUUCAUGAUUCAUGCAAUGAUAUUUUCCCAGUUUUGUCAUAUUCCUUGGGUUCUAUUUUACCCACAGCGGUAUGGUAUACACAAGAUGCUCUUCAUAUAAAUUCAGUGACAGAGCUGCAAAACAGCAUUCUCUCUUUCAUUUAAAUCCUUUAUAUACAAUGUUUUUGCAUCAGGGAAUCACCCUUGCAUAUAAUAGUUGGUGCAGGCAUUGUCAAAUACAUUUGAUAUUAAUAAAGCAUCAAAAGGAGACAUCUAUUUCUGCUGAAAGGCAUGAACCUGCAUUAUAAUGUUAGAUGGUGAUUCUAUACCACUUAGUUGGAGUAAUACAUAUUUGUUGUAUAAUCAUGGAAAAAUGUUGUUUUUAAUGUUUAAAAUUACUUGGGACCUGGUUUAAGGGUUUUAUGAGAUUGUUUUCUAAAGUGAAUGGUAGAAAAAGCGUACAUGUAUUUUAAAUAUAUAUGUGUGCAUGUUAUUAAUAAAACAUCUAUUUCUAUUGAAA